GUGUCAGCCGCCGCGGUAAGACGUAGGAGGCGAGCGUUAUCCGGAUUCACUGGGCGUAAAGCGCAUGUAGGCGGUUGAUUAAGUCCGUUGUUAAAGCCCCUGGCUCAACUGGGGGAGGUCAAUGGAGACUAGUCGACUUGAGGGCAACAGAGGCACAUGGAACUCCCGGUGUAGCGGUGGAAUGCGUAGAGAUCGGGAAGAACACCCGUGGCGAAGGCGGUGUGCUGGGUUGCAACUGACGCUGAGAUGCGAAAGUGUGGGGAGCAAACGGGAUUAGAAACCCCGGUAGUCC
rnacentral:rRNA from 1 species